GCCGAGGGAAGCUCAGCAGGGGGGCUAUGAGCUGAGUAUGUCUCAUCACUCUGUACCAUGCUCCUUGGGAAGGGCUGAGACUAUGGCCAAAAGCAGCCCUAACAGGGCUCUCCUGGAGCCUUGAGGAAUGAGUUCCCAGAGGUGCCCAGGAAGCCGAAUCUACUCCAAGACUUAGAUGAUAGUCCUCUGCCCCAACUUAUUACCUGCAUUUUUUUCUCUUUCUCUGGAAAUACUAAAUAUGAUUCUAGAAACUUUAUAUACUUUCUAUUUACAUGGAAGCUCUGCUGUCCCAGAUGUUAGGACAAAAUUGAUGCUGUCUUUGCAAUUCUAAGACUUUCUCAGUAUGAAAUUUAUCAAAUAAUAAGCCAUCAGGUUUUGCAGAUGAUCAUUUCCCGGU
rnacentral:RNase_P_RNA from 2 species